UUCCUCAGUUUUUUUAGUUGACACCUAUUCCUUUUUGGGAAGUUUAUAUUUCCUUUUUUGGUAAGUUUUUUAGGGUGAAUUUCCUAUUUUACCCUUAAUAAAAAAAACAGAUUAUAUCCUAAACAUCCUUUGUUUAAACAUAUAAUUGUUGAUUAUAACUAAUCACUCCCUACUCUUUUAUGACAUCCCACCCACCUAACUACUCUACUUUGAUUGUUGGCAAUAAACCCACUUACCCACGUCUUCCUCCCAGACAUCUUUUUUUUGUUUGUUUGAGGGGACUCCUACCAGAGCUCUUAAUUGUGUUCUUGAAGUUCAUCUAGAAAAUUCUACCACUUUCUCUCUCCUCAAAUAUCUUUGAAAAUCCACAAAUCUAUAUGCAAUUCUUACUCUCUUUAAUUAUCUUUCCUUAAUUUGAGGUAAUCUAACUCAAAUUUUUUCUCCUUCCAAAAUUAAAAAAAAAAAAAAUCAAAUUUUUCCUGUAAUGGAAAAGGGGAAGCCGAUUGUUCUUUCAAAGAAGGGAAAGGAGUAUACUCUUACAAAGGAGCAGAAGAAGAUAAUUGCGGCUUCUUCACUAGCAGAAUUUCUGCCUGAGACUUAUCCUUGGGAGAAUGAAACUUGGUAGCAAAAUAUUUCGAUCCAACCUUUUUCUAUUUUGAACCUUGAUUCAGAGUAUAUCAACAAUCUAAUGAGUUCUGAGUCACCUAAAACCCCAAUUAAAGGGGACAAUGAUGAGCAUACUACUUCUCCUCCCACUGAUCCGUGUGCGUGGAAUGAUUCAGGCAAUGUUCCAUGUUUGUAUGUUCGUGAUAGGCAUACCAAAGACACAAUGGUUGUCCCUGAAACACCAGAUGAUGUGGUGUUGAGUAUGGAUGAUAAUUUGUACCCAAUUUCCACUUAUAGUAGAAGGAGGAAAUUGUUUCAAUCGCCUUCAAGAUUGGGUGACAUAGAUGAAAAAAAUAUCUCAAAAACCUUGGUGAUAGAUUGUGUUGGCUUGGUUUCAAUAGUCCCUUUCUCCCUGUUCUUGCUUGAUCUGAUGGCUGCUACUUCCUCUGUGAAUUCCCAAAUCCCUAAUUUUCCAUCAAAAGUGACUUCCCCAUUGUGUUGAAAAAGCAGUGAUCCAACCCCUGCUAAAAAUAUGACCUUCUCAGUGAAGUUUUUGGACUGCACAUGUCUAUAUGGAUCUUAUUCUCCCUCUUCUCCUGCAAGUAGGUAAUACCUCUGUGUGUUCUUGCUCAUAAAAAACCACUUCUCGUCGAUGUGCACAAAAUUGGAUAAAUUCACAAAUGUUGAUUGUUGAGUGACUGAUCUAGGAAGAGUGAGACCCAAUAUCCAUUUCAAUCUCUGUAUUUUGUGUGCAGCUGAAACUGUAGGCCUAAUAGAGUUGGUAUGUGACCUGAUUAUCCCCUUUUUGAGCAGCUUAUGGACAGUGGAAACACAACAUUCUAAUGCUACUGCAAAGCUUCUAAGAUUAUUAUCAUCAUCACUAUCAGUUUCAGCUUCACUACAAAACCAUACCUCAUCAUCAUCACUCUGGGAAUCAUGUGCAUCAGCAUCCCCUUCCGGCCACUGUGUAGCAGCUUCAAGUUCUUGCAGUUCUUCAACUGAAAAUUCCUCCCCCAUGACAUUUGUAGUAUCAACAUCUUCAUGAAUAUUGGACCUGAAUGUGUGCAUGUGUGUGCUGUGAAGUUUUUUUGGAGUAGUUUUUGGGGAGGAAAUUUAAUGUUAUUGUACUGCUUUUAUAGUAGGUAAAAAUAUCCCCUCAAUUUUGAAUUGUAAAGUUGUAAAGUAAAUGUGAAAAUUUAAAUUUUCAUUAAAAAGUUUGGAGGGAAACUACAAAAAAAAUUUAGCUCCUUCAUCAAAAAAUAGUGUCACGGUAGAUUUAUUACUAAAGGAUUCCCACUCACUUUUUCAAUUAGCUUAAAAAGGAACCCCACUCACCUUUUCAAUUAGCUUAAAAAGACAUGCAAUACCCCUCUCUUUUUACACUCUCUCUCCUUGUCUUAAAUUGUGUGCCAAACCCAAUGGUGUCAACUAAAAAAAAAGGAGGAAGUAUUAUUGGAUCACUUCACGUGGCCUAUUUGUUAUAAUUAGUUUGUUUGAUUGAAAAUAGAUAAUAGUUGUCCAAUUAUAUCACUAAAAUUAAGAGCUUGAAAUUAAAACUAGCCAAGUUUAGAAGUGUUUUCAUUUUAAUUACUCAUGUUGGACUCUCAACACUCAUACAUGGGUAGAACACUUAUAAAUUCAUUUUAGACCAAAAUCUUUGUAAAAAAUACUACAUAGAUUAGUUGGGCACCUUUUUCUUCUUUUUUUUUAAAUUUUUUUUCAAAAAAAAGAGAUUAGUUGGGCAGUUAAACAUGUACUAGCAAUGACAUGAGUGCCUUAAAACAAAAAACACAACCUGAAAAAUGUAAACUCUAAAUUAUAUCCAAAUAACAAAAUUUGCUUCAUAUGAGGAUUAUCUAUCCAUACUUACAAACACGGGUACUAAAUUGCUAUCAACCUUACGACCUUACAAACAUGUAUUUUAGGGAAUGAAAGUAUGAUUAUUCAAAAAAAAAAAUGUUUUAGUGAAUAAUCAUACUUUCAUUCCUACAACAAAAGGAAAAUUUGUUAUUUUUAAUCCCAACUUCGGACCAUUUAGUUUAGGAAAAAUUGUGGAAAAUAAUACAACUUUUGGCCGGUUUUUUUAAAAUAAUACAACCUUUGGAUUAAUUUUUAAUAAUACAACCUUUGAGGGGUGUUAAUUUUAAACAAGACAUAACCUGUUGGUAACUUGUUUUUGUAGGUCACCAUGACACAUGUCAUUGUUUUAUUGGUUUUGUCAAUUUAAUUAAU